rnacentral:rRNA from 1 species
AUUGAACGCUGGCGGCAGGCCUAACACAUGCAAGUCGAACGAGUGGCGGACGGGUGAGUAAUGUCUGGGAAACUGCCUGAUGGAGGGGGAUAGCUCCUGGAAACGGUAGCUAAUCCCGCAUACCAUCGGAUGUGCCCAAAUGGGAUUAGCUAGUAGGUGGGGUAAAGGCUCACCUAGGCGACGAUCCCUAGCUGGUCUGAGAGGAUGCACAGCCACACUGAAAAUGAGCCACGGUCCAGACUCGUACGGGAGGAAGCAGAGGGGAAUAUUGCACAAUGGGCGCAAGCCUGAUGCAGCCAUGCCGCGUGUGUGAAGAAGGCCUUCGGGUUGUAAAGCACUUUCAGCGAGGAGGCGUUACUCGCAGAAGAAGCACCGGCUAACUCCGUGCCAGCAGCCGCGGUAAUAC